UACGUAGGUGGCAAGCGUUGUCCGGAUUUACUGGGUGUAAAGGGCGUGCAGCCGGGCUGACAAGUCAGAUGUGAAAUCCCGCGGCUCAACCGCGGAACUGCAUUUGAAACUGUCAGUCUUGAGUACCGGAGAGGUCAUCGGAAUUCCUUGUGUAGCGGUGAAAUGCGUAGAUAUAAGGAAGAACACCAGUGGCGAAGGCGGCCUGCUGGACCGCGACUGACGUUGAGGCUCGAAAGCGUGGGGAGCAAACAGG
rnacentral:rRNA from 1 species